rnacentral:rRNA from 1 species
UGGGGAAUUUUGGACAAUGGGCGAAAGCCUGAUCCAGCAAUGCCGCGUGUGUGAAGAAGGCCUUCGGGUUGUAAAGCACUUUUGUCCGGAAAGAAAUCCUUGGCUCUAAUACAGUCGGGGGAUGACGGUACCGGAAGAAUAAGCACCGGCUAACUACGUGCCAGCAGCCGCGGUAAUACGUAGGGUGCAAGCGUUAAUCGGAAUUACUGGGCGUAAAGCGUGCGCAGGCGGUUUGCUAAGACCGAUGUGAAAUCCCCGGGCUCAACCUGGGAACUGCAUUGGUGACUGGCAGGCUAGAGUAUGGCAGAGGGGGGUAGAAUUCCACGUGUAGCAGUGAAAUGCGUAGAGAUGUGGAGGAAUACCGAUGGCGAAGGCAGCCCCCUGGGCCAAUACUGACGCUCAUGCACGAAAGCGUGGGGAGCAAACAGGAUUAGAUACCCUGGUAGUCCACGCCCUAAACGAUGUCAACUAGUUGUUGGGGAUUCAUUUCCUAGUAACGUAGCUAACGCGUGAAGUUGACCGCCUGGGGAGUACGGUCGCAAGAUUAAAACUUAAAUGAAUUGACGGGGUCAUAGCUGUUUCC